UACGGAAGGCAGCAGUGGGGAAUAUUGCACAAUGGGCGCAAGCCUGAUGCAGCCAUGCCGCGUGUAUGAAGAAGGCCUUCGGGUUGUAAAGUACUUUCAGCGGGGAGGAAGGCGAUGCGGUUAAUAACCGCGUCGAUUGACGUUACCCGCAGAAGAAGCACCGGCUAACUCCGUGCCAGCAGCCGCGGUAAUACGGAGGGUGCAAGCGUUAAUCGGAAUUACUGGGCGUAAAGCGCACGCAGGCGGUCUGUUAAGUCAGAUGUGAAAUCCCCCGGGCUUAACCUGGGAACUGCAUUUUGAAACUGGCAGGCUUGAGUCUUGUAGAGGGGGUGAAUUCCAGGUGUAGCGGUGAAAUGCGUAGAGAUCUGGAGGAAUACCGGUGGCGAAGGCGGCCCCUGGGACAAAGACUGACGCUCAGGUGCGAAAGCGUGGGGAGCGAAACAGGGAUUAGGAUACC
rnacentral:rRNA from 1 species